UACGUAGGUGGCAAGCGUUGUUCGGAAUUACUGGGCGUAAAGGGCGCGUAGGCGGCCUUCUAAGUCGAACGUGAAAUCCCCCGGCUUAACCUGGGAACUGCGUCUGAUACUGGAGGGCUUGAGUAUGGGAGAGGGAUGUAGAAUUCCAGGUGUAGCGGUGAAAUGCGUAGAUAUCAGGAAGAACACCAAUGGCGAAGGCAGCUCUCUGGGACGGUACUGACGCUGAGACGCGAAAGCGUGGGGAGCGAACAGG
rnacentral:rRNA from 1 species